rnacentral:piRNA from 1 species
AGGCUCUGGGUACUGACAUGCUGCUCUGAGC